UUAUUGGAGAGUUUGAUCCUGGCUCAGGAUGAACGCUGGCGGCGUGCCUAAUACAUGCAAGUCGAGCGAAUGGAUUGAGAGCUUGCUCUCAAGAAGUUAGCGGCGGACGGGUGAGUAACACGUGGGUAACCUGCCCAUAAGACUGGGAUAACUCCGGGAAACCGGGGCUAAUACCGGAUAA
rnacentral:rRNA from 2 species